rnacentral:rRNA from 1 species
UACGGAGGGGCCUAGCGUUGUUCGGAAUUACUGGGCGUAAAGCGCACGUAGGCGGCUUUGUAAGUUAGACGUGAAAGCCCGGGGCUCAACUCCGGAAUUGCCUUUAAGACUGCAUCGCUAGAAUUGUGGAGAGGUAAGUGGAAUUCCGAGUGUAGAGGUGAAAUUCGUAGAUAUUCGGAGGAACACCAGUGGCGAAGGCGACUUACUGGACACAUAUUGACGCUGAGGUGCGAAAGCGUGGGGAGCAAACAGG